rnacentral:misc_RNA from 1 species
GAUGAAGAACGUAGCGAAAUGCGAUAAGUAGUGUGAAUUGCAGAAUUCAGUGAAUCAUCGAAUCUUUGAACGCACAUUGCGCCCCUUGGUAUUCCAUGGGGCAUGCCUGUUCGAGCGUCAUUUGUACCUUCAAUCUUUGCUUGGUGUUGGGUGUUUGUCUCGCCUUUGCGUGUAGACUCGCCUUAAAAUAAUUGGCAGCCGGCGUAUUGAUUUCGGAGCGCAGUACAUCUCGCGCUUUGCACUCAUAACGACAGCGUCCAAAAGUACAUUUUACACUCUUGACCUCGGAUCAGGUAGGGAUACCCGCUGAACUUAAGCAUAUCAAUAAGCGGAGGA